AAGCCAUGAUGAGGGCACAUUCUGAUUAGAUUCUGGUAUCUAUUCCAGGCAUCAUACAAGCUCUCUCCAUGAAACUGUGUGAACCUUGUAAUCUGAUCUCUAUACUC